rnacentral:rRNA from 1 species
UGGGGAAUAUUGGACAAUGGGCGCAAGCCUGAUCCAGCCAUGCCGCGUGAGUGAUGAAGGCCCUAGGGUUGUAAAGCUCUUUCACCGGUGAAGAUAAUGACGGUAACCGGAGAAGAAGCCCCGGCUAACUUCGUGCCAGCAGCCGCGGUAAUACGAAGGGGGCUAGCGUUGUUCGGAUUUACUGGGCGUAAAGCGCACGUAGGCGGACUUUUAAGUCAGGGGUGAAAUCCCGGGGCUGAACCCCGGAACUGCCUUUGAUACUGGGAGGCUUGAGGAGGGGAGAGGUGAGUGGAAUUCCGAGUGUAGAGGUGAAAUUCGUAGAUAUUCGGAGGAACACCAGUGGCGAAGGCGGCUCACUGGACCAUUACUGACGCUGAGGUGCGAAAGCGUGGGGAGCAAACAGG